GAUGAAGAACGUAGCGAAAUGCGAUAAGUAGUGUGAAUUGCAGAAUUCAGUGAAUCAUCGAAUCUUUGAACGCACAUUGCGCCCCUUGGUAUCCCGAGGGGCAUGCCUGUUCGAGCGUCAUUUCACCACUCAAGCCUGGCUUGGUGUUGGGCGACGUCCCCUUUGGGGAUGCGCCUCGAAACGCUCGGCGGCGUGGCACCGGCUUUAAGCGUAGCAGAAUCUUUCGCUUUGGAAGUCGGGGCCCCGUCUGCCGGAAGACCUACUCGCAAGGUUGACCUCGGAUCAGGCAGGGAUACCCGCUGAACUUAAGCAUAUCAAUAAGCGGAGGA
rnacentral:misc_RNA from 1 species